rnacentral:rRNA from 1 species
GACGAACGCUGGCGGCGUGCUUAACACAUGCAAGUCGAACGGAGUGGCGAACGGGUGAGUAACACGUGGGUGACCUGCCCUGCACUUCGGGAUAAGCCUGGGAAACUGGGUCUAAUACCGGAUAGUGUGGGUUGGGCCCGCGGCCUAUCAGCUUGGUGGUGGGGUAAUGGCCUACCAAGGCGGCGACGGGUGGCCGGCCUGAGAGGGAGGAGGGCCACAUUGUGACUGGGAAACGGCCCAGACUCCUGCGGGAGGCAGCAGUGGGGAAUAUUGCAGAAGGGGCGGAAGCCUGAUGCAGCGACGCCGCGUGGGGGAUGACGGCUUUCGGGUUGUAACCUCCUUUCACCAUCGACGCGGUAGAUGGAGAAGAAGCACCGGCUAACUACGUGCCAGCCGCCGCGGUAAUAC